GACGAACGCUGGCGGCGUGCUUAACACAUGCAAGUCGAACGGAAAGACCCUGCUUUUGUGGGGUGCUCGUGUGGCGAACGGGUGAGUAACACGUGAGUAACCUGCCCUUGACUUUGGGAUAACUUCAGGAAACUGGGGCUAAUACCGGAUAGGAGCUCCUGCUGCAUGGUGGGGGUUGGAAAGUUUCGGCGGUUGGGGAUGGACUCGCGGCUUAUCAGCUUGUUGGUGGGGUAGUGGCUUACCAAGGCUUUGACGGGUAGCCGGCCUGAGAGGGUGACCGGCCACAUUGGGACUGAGAUACGGCCCAGACUCCUACGGGAGGCAGCAGUGGGGAAUAUUGCACAAUGGGCGGAAGCCUGAUGCAGCAGCGCCGCGUGCGGGAUGACGGCCUUCGGGUUGUAAACCGCUUUCGCCUGUGACGAAGCGUGAGUGACGGUAAUGGGUAAAGAAGCACCGGCUAACUACGUG
rnacentral:rRNA from 1 species